GUCUUCGGAUGUGGCAUCUAACAAAAAAGAAAGCUGCACAUAGUCACUCUGUGUGUUGAGUUGUAAGUAUAUGAGAUAAAAACAUCUUUGUGGAUUAUUUUUAAAACAUGAUAAACUGCAUUACCAAACUUUAUGAUUUUACGUAUGUAAGUAUAUAUUAGAGAUCAUUUGUGCAUUAACAAUUGUAUAGGGAAGCACUAAAAGACAAAAACAUUAUAAUGAUAUUAUGGCAGUGCUUAACAAAUUCAGAAUAUUUUUAUAUGAAAAACCUAUGCUGUAAAAAAUCUGAAUCAAAAUUUUGCUUUUUGAUUGCAUGGGUUGCAACCCACAGAAAACAACAAAUAAAUUGGUCAGGAUUUUUUUAGUUUAAGAAGCAAAAAUUU
rnacentral:lncRNA from 1 species